UCCACCGAGAAUGAGAGGCAGCGCUGAGCAGAGCACUGCUCCUUCCUCCAGCCUCAUCUCUAGCUUGGCUGGGGGGCACCUUGGACCCUCCACCUCAUGAUUCGGCAAGGUCUAGGUGGAGUUAUAAAGACGUGACUGAUCAUGCAUUGCAUUUCCUAACCACAGAGCCUGCAGCUUCCCAACCAGGACGGCGUGAAGGGAAUGGGAAGUCUCCGCCACCACACCGCGCAGGGCACACCACUGUGAUAGUGCACCAAGGAGGUACUGGAUGAUUUCUUCCUGGAAAAAUAAAUGGAACAUAAACUGAUGGAGUGUGGUAUCACUGAUUUAAGGAGAAGCUGGAGCAGAUGAUGUUGAAGCAAGGUCUGAGCACCCCUUUCCCAGUGGAGGUACUGGGAUAGGAGACUCACAAUCAUCUCCCAUCAUCACUUCCACUCCUGAGAGAUAAGGGGCACACCUGUAUCAUGGUCACGAGCGCAAAAGAAGCUUGUGUAGAUGUACCUGAGCUUACUUCAGAAACACAGGCUUGACCUUCAAGAGUUGCUGCUAAUUUGUUCAGUGUUCAUACAGUAUGUAGCUGUAUGAACUGUCCAUUACUACUCCUCCGAGGUGCUGCUGCGAUACAGAUUUCAGCCACCUUUCCUUUUGUCUGUGCACCUUUAUCAGUGCAGCUGAAGGGAAUACUGUGUGGGCUCUGAAUUCCUCUCCAAAGACCAUGUAAAUACUUAGACAGUUCGUGCUGGUCCCUGAGCUACUGCUGCUAGUGUUAAACUAACUAGUUAAAGCCGGUUUGCAUACAUUUGCAGCUACAGCAGAAGUCGAGUGAUAAAUAUUCCCAAAUGUAGCUAUGCAAAUAGUGGCAAAUUCUGAAUAAAUGUAUGAAAUGCAUUAUAGUAGUCACAAAUUCUUCUCUUUUUCCUUUAAGAAAAAACAAAAGACAAAUUUGGCUUUAUGGCACAGGCCAGGUUCUCUUUUAUAACCUUUUGAAUUUUGUACAUCCUUACAAAAAGGGCUACAUCCUACAAAAGAGCUAUAAACCAAUGGUAAACAUUCAAGGAUAAUUUUAGCAUGGACUGUGGUAAAUC